AUUGAACGCUGGCGGCAUGCCUAACACAUGCAAGUCGAACGGCAGCACAGAGGAGCUUGCUCCUUGGGUGGCGAGUGGCGGACGGGUGAGUAAUGCAUCGGGACCUACCCAGACGUGGGGGAUAACGUAGGGAAACUUACGCUAAUACCGCAUAUGUCCUACGGGAGAAAGCAGGGGGACCUUCGGGCCUUGCGCGGUUG
rnacentral:rRNA from 1 species